rnacentral:rRNA from 1 species
CAGUCGCCGCGGUAAUACGUAGGGUGCGAGCGUUAAUCGGAAUUACUGGGCGUAAAGCGUGCGCAGUCGGUUUUGUAAGACAGGCGUGAAAUCCCCGGGCUCAACCUGGGAAUGGCGCUUGUGACUGCAAAGCUAGAGUGCGGCAGAGGGGGAUGGAAUUCCGCGUGUAGCAGUGAAAUGCGUUGAGAUCGGAAAGAACACCAACGGCGAAAGCACUCUGCUGGGCCGACACUGACACUGAGAGACGAAAGCUAGGGGAGCAAAUGGGAUUAGAUACCCGUGUAGUCCCUGUCUCUUAUAA